GGCGACGUGGCCGAGUGGCUUAGGCGUGGGUCUGCAAAACCCAUUACCCCGGUUCGAUUCCGGGCGUCGCCUCCA
rnacentral:tRNA from 1 species